rnacentral:rRNA from 1 species
CAGUCGCCGCGGUAAUACGGAGGGUGCAAGCGUUAAUCGGAAUUACUGGGCGUAAAGCGUGCGUAGGCGGUUCGUUAAGUCUGUUGUGAAAGCCCCGGGCUCAACCUGGGAAUGGCAAUGGAUACUGGCGAGCUAGAGUGUGUCAGAGGAUGGUGGAAUUCCCGGUGUAGCGGUGAAAUGCGUAGAGAUCGGGAGGAACAUCAGUGGCGAAGGCGGCCAUCUGGGACAACACUGACGCUGAGGCACGAAAGCGUGGGGAGCAAACAGGAUUAGAUACCCCCGUAGUCCCUGUCUCUUAUAC